rnacentral:rRNA from 1 species
UACGUAGGGUGCAAGCGUUGUCCGGAAUUAUUGGGCGUAAAGAGCUCGUAGGCGGUCUGUCACGUCGGCUGUGAAAACCCGAGGCUCAACCUCGGGCCUGCAGUCGAUACGGGCAAACUAGAGUACUGCAGGGGAGACUGGAAUUCCUGGUGUAGCGGUUAAAUGCGCAGAUAUCAGGAGGAACACCGGUGGCGAAGGCGGGUCUCUGGGCAGUAACUGACGCUGAGGAGCGAAAGCGUGGGGAGCGAACAGG